CAGCAGCCGCGGUAAUACGAGGGGAGCUAGCGUUGUUCGGAAUUACUGGGCGUAAAGCGCGCGUAGGCGGCUUUUUAAGUCAGAGGUGAAAGCCCGGGGCUCAACCCCGGAAUUGCCUUUGAAACUGGAAAGCUAGAAUCUUGGAGAGGUCAGUGGAAUUCCGAGUGUAGAGGUGAAAUUCGUAGAUAUUCGGAAGAACACCAGUGGCGAAGGCGACUGACUGGACAAGUAUUGACGCUGAGGUGCGAAAGCGUGGGGAGCAAACAGGAUUAGAGACCCGUGUAGUCCCUGUCUCUUAUAC
rnacentral:rRNA from 1 species